rnacentral:rRNA from 1 species
GAUGAACGCUAGCGACAGGCCUAACACAUGCAAGUCGAGGGGCAUCGGGACGUAGCAAUACGUUGCCGGCGACCGGCGGAUGGGUGAGUAACGCGUAUGCAACCUACCCGUAGCAGGGGGAUAGCCCGUUGAAAGACGGAUUAAUACCCCGUAACACAGGGGCUCCGCAUGGAGAUUAUUGUUAAAGGGUCAUUUCUUUUUCAGGGAUGGUCCGGCUGCGGAUGGGCAUGCGUUCCAUUAGGUAGUUGGUGUAGGUAACUGCUCACCAAGCCGACGAUGGAUAGGGGAACUGAGAGGUUGGUCCCCCACACUGGUACUGAGACACGGACCAGACUCCUACGGGAGGCAGCAGUGAGGAAUUUUGGUCAAUGGACGCAAGUCUGAACCAGCCAUGUCGCGUGAAGGAGGACGGCCCUAAGGGUUGUAAACUUCUUUUGCAGUGGAAUAAAGUUUGCCACGUGUUGGCGAUUUGCAAGUACGCUGCGAAUAAGGAUCGGCUAACUCCGUGCC